rnacentral:rRNA from 1 species
AGGAUUAACGCUGGCGGCGUGCAUGAAACAUGCAAGUCGAGCGGAAAGGCCCUUCGGGGUACUCGAGCGGCGAACGGGUGAGUAACACGUGAGCAAUCUGCCCUUAGCUUCGGGAUAGCCCCGGGAAACCGGGAUUAAUACCGAAUACGACCUCGGCCGACAUCGGCUUUGGUGGAAAGUUUUUCGGCUAGGGAUGAACUCGCGGCCUAUCAGCUUGUUGGUGGGGUAAUGGCCUACCAAGGCGACGACGGGUAGCCGGCCUGAGAGGGCGACCGGCCACACUGGGACUGAGACACGGCCCAGACUCCUACGGGAGGCAGCAGUGGGGAAUAUUGCGCAAUGGGCGAAAGCCUGACGCAGCGACGCCGCGUGGGGGAUGAAGGCCUUCGGGUUGUAACCCCUUUCAGCAGGGACGAAGCGAGAGUGACGGUACCUGCAGAAGAAGCGCCGGCUAACUACGCGCCAGCAGCCGC